CAAUAGCGUAUAUUAAAGUUGUUGCAGUUAAAAAGCUCGUAGUUGAAUUUCUGGAGAUUUUGUUGGGGCUGCUUCAUUGCACGCCCUUGACGAUGUCUUCAUCCUGGUUGGGGCGGCGUUGGCGUUCACUCGUCGCGUCGUACCGGCCUCCUUUACUGUGAAAAAAUCAGAGUGUUCAAAGCAAGCGUUCGCUUGAAUACAUUAGCAUGGAAUAAUGAGAUAGGACCUUGGGCCUACUUUGUUGGUUGCGGGCCUAGGUAAUGAUUAAUAGGAUUGGUUGGGGUAUUCAUAUUUAAUUGUCAGAGGUGAAAUUCUUGGAUUUAUUAAAGAUGAACUACUGCGAAAGCAUUUACCAAGGACACUUCCAUUAA
rnacentral:rRNA from 1 species